AGCAGCCGCGGUAAUUCCAGCUCCAAUAGCGUAUAUUAAAGUUGUUGCAGUUAAAAGCUGUAGUUGAAUUUUGGGUCUGGCCGGACGGUCCGCCUUCUAGGUGAGCACUGUUCCGAUGUGGGCCUAUCCUUUUGGUGAAUCGGCAUGUCCUUUAUUGGGUGCGUCGGGGAACCAGAACAUUACCGUGAAAAAUUAGAGUGCUCAAAGCAGGCGUAUGCUCGAAUACAUUA
rnacentral:rRNA from 1 species